UGGGGAAUAUUGCACAAUGGGCGCAAGCCUGAUGCAGCAACGCCGCGUGAACGAUGAAGGUCUUCGGAUUGUAAAGUUCUGUUGCAGGGGAAGAUAAUGACGGUACCCUGUGAGGAAGCCCAGGCUAACUACGUGCCAGCAGCCGCGGUAAUACGUAGGGGGCUAGCGUUAUCCGGAUUUACUGGGCGUAAAGGGUGCGUAGGUGGUCCUUCAAGUCGGUGGUUAAAGGCUACGGCUCAACCGUAGUAAGCCGCCGAAACUGGAGGCCUUGAGUACAGGAGAGGAAAGUGUAAUUCCCAGUGUAGCGGUGAAAUGCGUAGAUAUUGGGAGGAACACCAGUAGCGAAGGCGGCUUUCUGGACUGCAACUGACCCUGAGGCACGAAAGCGUGGGUAGCAAACAGG
rnacentral:rRNA from 1 species